rnacentral:rRNA from 1 species
CCUACGGGUGGCAGCAGUGAGGAAUAUUGGUCAAUGGACGAGAGUCUGAACCAGCCAAGUAGCGUGAAGGAUGACUGCCCUAUGGGUUGUAAACUUCUUUUAUAUGGGAAUAAAACGUUCCACGUGUGGGAUUUUGUAUGUACCAUAUGAAUAAGGAUCGGCUAACUCCGUGCCCGCAGCCGCGUUAAUACGGAGGAUCCGAGCUUUAUCCGGAUUUAUUGGGUUUAAAGGGAGCUUAGGUGGGUUGUUAAGUCAGUUGGGAAAGUUUGCGGCUCAACCGUAAAAUUGCAGUUGAUACUGGCAGUCGUGAGUACAGUAGAGGUGGGCGGAAUUCGUGGGGUAGCGGUGAAAUGCUGAGAUAUCACGAAGAACUCCGAUUGCGAAGGCAGUUUAAUGGACUGCAACUGACACUGAGGCUCGAAAGUGUGGGUAUCAAACAGGAUUAGAUACCCCAGUAGUC